rnacentral:rRNA from 1 species
GCUUGUCUCAAAGAUUAAGCCAUGCAUGUCUAAGUGUAAAUAAGUCUAUACUGUGAAACUGCGAAUGGCUCAUUAAAUCAGUUAUCGUUUAUUUGAUGAUCUCUUACUACUUGGAUAACCGUAGUAAUUCUAGAGCUAAUACGUGCGUAAAUCCCGACUUCUGGAAGGGACGUAUUUAUUAGAUUUAAGGCCAACCGAGCUUGCUCGUCUCUUGGUGAAUCAUGAUAACUUCACGAAUCGCAUGGCCUCGCGCCGGCGAUAUUUCAUUCAAAUUUCUGCCCUAUCAAUUGGCGAUGGUAGGAUAGAGGCCUACCAUGGUGUUAACGGGUGACGGGGGAUUAGGGUUCGAUUCCGGAGAGGCAGCCUGAGAAACGGCUACCACAUCCAAGGAAGGCAGCAGG